GGGUCUGUAGCUCAGUAGGUUUAGAGCGUUGGUUUGAAACACCAAAGGUCGAGGGUUCGAUUCCCUCUGGACCCA
rnacentral:tRNA from 2 species